AGAAAAGUAUUUAAAUAAUAAAACCUAAUUUGCAAUUAGAAAUUGAAACUAUUCCUUUUCUA
rnacentral:tRNA from 1 species